UACAGAGGUCUCAAGCGUUGUUCGGAUUCAUUGGGCGUAAAGGGUGCGUAGGCGGCGCGGUAAGUCGGGUGUGAAAUCUCGGAGCUUAACUCCGAAACUGCAUUCGAUACUGCCGGGCUAGAGGACGGUAGAGGCGAGUGGAAUUCCCGGUGUAGCGGUGAAAUGCGCAGAUAUCGGGAGGAACACCAGUAGCGAAGGCGGCUCGCUGGGCCGUUCCUGACGCUGAGACGCGAAAGCUAGGGGAGCGAACAGG
rnacentral:rRNA from 1 species